AUAGCGUAUAUUAAAGUUGUUGCGGUUAAAAAGCUCGUAGUUGAAUCUGUGUGCCACGCUGUCGGUUCAUCGCUCGCGAUGUUUAACUGACAUGAUUGUGGGACGUCCUACCGGUGGGCUUAGCUCCUCACGGGGCGGUCCAGCUAAUAUCCCAUCGCGGUGCUCUUCAUCGAGUGUCGAGGUGGGCCGGUACGUUUACUUUGAACAAAUUAGAGUGCUCAAAGCAGGCUAUGUUCGCCUGAAUACUGUGUGCAUGGAAUAAUGGAAUAGGACCUCGGUUCUAUUUUGUUGGUUUUCGGAACCCCGAGGUAAUGAUUAAUAGGGACAGAUGGGGGCAUUCGUAUUGCGACGUUAGAGGUGAAAUUCUUGGAUCGUCGCAAGACGAACAGAAG
rnacentral:rRNA from 1 species